GACACUUUGUUUUUACAGCAGCUAAAAACUAUUUCAUAACAGUCCUAAUUGCUAUGGUUGGAGGAAAAGAGAAUGCAUAAAAAGGAAAAUGUAAUACUGCAUUUUGCUUCAAAUAUCCAAGUUCCUGUAAGUGUUUUAUAACAUUUUCAUAAAGAAGGAUCUACUACCUACGCUAUAAUUACUUGCCCACCAAAUCUGAAGGAAUGUGGUUUUUCCAGCAUCAGGAGUUGUUUUCUGGUGUGCAGGAAUACCCUGAAGUAAUGUGUCCCUCUUGUGUCCUCAGUAUUAUAAAAUACAAUUUACAGGAUUCUCCUGACAGAUUAUGAGAGGGAAGUCUUAAAAAAAAAAAAAAUCCUUAACAACUUAAUAAAGUCCUAACACCAAUAUGCUUCUUUUGUUGUUAUUGUUUUGUCCUCUGAGUUACGCUUCCCUCCAAGGAAAUAAACAGCUCAGCAAAUUCUCCAUGGAGCAAGCGUGGAGACACGAACCCCCAAGCAAUCCACUCUGGUGUUUACUUUGAGAAUGUUACUGAGUCUGGAACAAAAGAAUAGCCAUCAGUCUCAUCAGGAUAGUUUACUACUGUCGGGUUUUUUGCUUCUCUUCACACGGAAAGGAGAAGAAUCUUUUAAAACUCAUGUCAAGAAAGGCUUUUCCCGCCGUGCCUACCCAACUGCUAGAAUAUACGGCCGCUCUGGGAAACUUUUACAUAUCCUUUUCCACGCCGGGCCCAGCCUUAAUAAAAUCAAAAGCUGACAAAUAAAAUAAAUUAAAAAAUGGAAAGCCUAGUUUAUCUGAUGUUGGCUGGCCCUUUGCUUCCUCCACACUGAUCCCGUGACAUGCCUUCCUCUCCCAGUCGCCUUCCUCACAGACACACACGCCCCUACUCCGAACCCAAGGAAAGAAUCGCUGAUCGGACUCCUUUCUGUUGCUUCCUUUUGAAGACUCUCUCAAUCCCCGAUGUAGGAUUUUAUGGCAAAGCAGGAAGAGGUGCCACUGAAGGUGUCCGAGGAAAAGGAAAGCUGGGCACUCCUCCUCCAGCUCACCUAUGCACGUCCCAGUGUGGGAUGAGCUUAGAGCCAGGUCUAAACACUCGAGACUGUCCAGAGGUGAGCAUAUCCUCCAACUACCCACAGGGGAAGACGGGUUCCGCAACAGGGUCCGGGGAAUGUGUCUGAGCGGAGCUAAGAACAAUCCAAGAAGGUUGUGGCAGUUUCUCUGAUGCAGUGCAACAGCGACCAGUUGGAUGACUGGAUACAACAAAUGACAUGUACCACCCAAAUGGCAUUCAGUGAAAAGCAACGUUUACAGCAAAGCAUUCUAACACUUAGUGACUAAGAAUUUUAAAAUAAACAUGCAGUUCCUUUUAAACAGAAACGGAAAAAAGAAAAAAAAAAAAACUUCAUCAACUUACUGGCAAGGCUGUAACAUGAAAGUCCCCAUCUAUGGUUAGAUCUGAAUCCUGACGACUGCUUAUUUCAAAUCAAAGAUUCUAGAAGGAUACACGGUGCAUUCUAUUAUUUAAGGUGGAAUAAAUUAAUUGCAGGGAAAAGGAAUAUUUUGCACCUGAGAAUCGAUCAUCAGAUAGCUCCGUAUCCCUCCAGUUGAAAGAACCAAGGGUUUGCGAAACGCCUGUGCCUCCCCCGCCCCUUUUUGGCAAGGAAGUGAGAAAUCUAUGCAGAACACUACACGUCUACCUUUUAUAAUUAAUUUCCCAAUGCCUCACCUAUACGUAUUUUAAUAAUUCCUGAUUUAUAAGAUGGUAUCUGUAAUAAAAUUUUCUAUUUUCCAAUAAAUGAAAAGAAGGCAGGUUCACUCCAGCAACAGAGUGUCACGCAAUAUCUGCUUGUCAGGCACCAAUUUUUACUUCUUACAUGUAAGUUAAAGGAUAAGGAAUUUAUAAUGCUGCCUGUGAAGGGAACCACUUUUCAUACACAAAUGUGAUCUUUUUUUUUUCAAAGGGUAAUACAACAGUACAUUUACAUAAACUAAUCCAAACAAUCUAUGUAUUUGACAAUGGCAAACCUCACACAGACGGCCUAUUGUUGGUUUACAUCUUGGAGUUCUUUAUAUUGGCUUGUAGCGCUGCUCUAGCUGUCAAAGGUUUGACUUGGACACUAAAUAAAUGGUUAUAGAAGUGCUGUGCAGCGAUAUUGGACUUCUUUGCAAAAGAAAACCUGCUGUGUAUGAAUUCAAAAGCUAUUAAUUUUUCAGUCAAAAAUAUUCGUGCCUAUUUCUUUUAAUAAAGAAAUACUGUGCUGAACUA